rnacentral:rRNA from 1 species
AGCUCCAAUAGCGUAUAUUAAAGUUGUUGCAGUUAAAAAGCUCGUAGUUGAAUUUCUGUUAAGACGACCUUGUGGUACUAAGUGUCAUUUGUGUCGUUUCAACAUUUUCCCUGUGGCCGCGCUUCAUUGUGUGAGCUUCGGGAAGUUUUACUUUGAGAAAAAUAGAGUGUUUCAAGCAGGCUGUGCCUUGAAUACUGCAGCAUGGAAUAAUGAUAUAGACCUACGUUCCUAUUUCGUUGGUUUGAGGGAUGAGUGAUGAUUAAUAGGGGUAGUUGGGGGCAUUUGUAUUCGACUGUCAGAGGUGAAAUUCUUAGAUUUGUCGAAGACAGACAACUGCGAAAGCAUUUGCCAAGGAUAUUCUCA